rnacentral:rRNA from 1 species
AUUGAACGCUGGCGGCAGGCCUAACACAUGCAAGUCGAGCGGUAGAAGGGAGCAUGCUCCUGGUUUCAUCGGCGGACGCGUGAGUAUUGCCUAUGACUCUGCCUGGUAGUGGGGGAUAACGUUAGCAAAUGGGCGCUAAUACCGCAUACGUAUUGCGUGACAAAGCGGAGGAUGUUCGGCUCUCACGCUCUCACCUGAGCCUAUGUCGGAUUAGCUAGUUGGUGGGGUAAAGGCCUACCCAGGCGACGAUCCGUAACUGGUCUGAGAGGAUGAUCAGUCACACCGGAACUGAGACACGGUCCAGACUCCUACGGGAGGCAGCAGCGGGGAAUAUUGGACAAAGGGCGAAAGCCUGAUCCAGCCAUGCCGCGUGUGUGAAGAAGGUCUUCGGAUUGUAAAGCACUUUAAGUUGGGAGGAAGGGCAGUAAGUUAAUACCUUGCUGUAUUGACGUUACCAACAGAAUAAGCACCGGCUAACUUCGUG